GGAUGUAUUGAUGAUGAACCAUUGUUUAGUGUUCAUUGUUAAGAGUGAAUAUUGUAAAUGGUUUGUUGGGUUGAUGUGGAUGAGAGAGAAAUGGUGAUAGUGACCCAUGAACCAUUUUUUUUCAAUAAUAAUGAUGCUCUAAGGGAGAACUCGGGCUUUCAUCCUCUUACUCUCAACUCUGUUUCUGCAAUUCCAAAUCUCUCUGUUUUCUCCUCCUCCAUAAACCCUAAUUAAUCGAAAGGAGGAGAGAGAAAAUUAAAUCAAAUCAUCAUUAUGAAGAUCGUACGUAGAGAUUUCGUUCGUGGCGGCCCAGGCAGUGUCAAGAUGAUUCCUGAAGAAGCUGAUGAUAUGUGGAUUGUUUACAAUUUGAUUGGUGAAGGUGAUUCUGUUUUAGCCGUCACUGUUAGGAAAGUUUUGAGAGAGGCUGCUUCUGGAGGGAGGGACGCAGAGCGUGUGAAACUUAGGCUAGAAAUCGUAGUGGAGGCUGUGGAAUAUGAAAAAGAAGGUUCUGUUUUACGUAUACGUGGAAAAAACACUCUGGAAAAUGAUCAUGUGAAGAUAGGUGCUUUUCAUACCCUGGAACUUGAGUUGCAUCGACCUUUCGUGCUGAGGAAGGAUAUCUGGGACUCGUUGGCAUUGGAUAUGCUUCAUCAAGCAGCAGAUCCUUCUGCAAGUGCUGAUUUGGCUGUGAUAAUAAUGCAAGAGGGAUUGGCACAUUUACUUUUGAUUGGUAAAAGUGUAACCCUUACUCGAUCUCGAAUAGAAGUCUCCAUUCCUCGAAAACAUGGACCUGCUAUUGCUGGAUAUGAAUCUGCCUUAAAUAAGUUCUUUGAGAAUGUACUACAGGCUUUCCUCAAAUAUGUUGAUUUUAAGGUUGUCCGAUGUGCUGUCAUUGCAAGUCCUGGAUUCACUAAGGACCAAUUUUAUCGUCAUCUGUUGCUAGAAGCUGAAAGGAAACAGCUGAGAUCAAUUAUAGAGAACAAGUCACGCAUAGUUCUUGUGCAUACAGCUUCGGGAUACAAGCAUAGCUUGAGGGAGGUUCUUGAUGCGCCAAACGUGAUGAAUAUGAUAAAAGAUACAAAGGCAGCCCAAGAGGUCCGUGCUCUUGAGGACUUUUUCAGUAUGCUAUCAAAUGAUCCAGAUCGUGCAUGCUAUGGUCCUAAGCAUGUAGAAGUUGCCCAUGAACGAAUGGCUAUACAAACGCUGCUUAUCACAGAUGAACAGUUCAGGUGCCUUGCUUGAGCUUUUUCUGGAAUGCUGACAUUGCAACACGGAAAAAAUAUGUCAGCCUGGUCAAUUCAGUCAAAGAUUCUGGAGGAAGUGUUCAUAUAUUCUCGUCCAUGCAUGUCUCAGGGGAGCAAUUGGCACAGCUGACUGGCAUUGCAGCAAUUCUUCGCUUCCCUCUCCCUGAUCUCGAUGAUAUUGAAAUGUGAUCGACGUAGAUCUAUGGAAAGACCAACUUUGUACACCACUAAUUAUUACUGAAACAUACUGAAAAUUGUAUAUCACAAACUCUGUUAGCGACCCCUUUUCCUUCCAAGACUUAAAGUCUUGGAAGUUGUAUGUUAUAAUUAAGUUAUAGUCUAAGUUGCGAAAUAUGAUUCAUUUCUUCGUAGUGUGUUGUAAUGUCAGGUAAUAAUUCUACUAUUCAGAUUCUUUCUUGUAGCAUCCCAUGUAACACUACAUUCUUUGGUUGACUAAAGCUAUAUUUUAUGCUUCAUUUAUAAGAUCUGGUUAAUUUUUUGGUUGA